AACAUUCAAGAUUUUGUAAUAAACUCAGAUUUUGUAAACAAUUCCAAUUAAUGGACCUCAUCCGUUGCAUAUGAAGCAAAUGAUGAAUGGGUUUUCAAAUUCUUAUUUUAUGUUAGGGAUUCCAAAUUCUGAAACAAACUCAAAUUUUGUAAACAAUUUGAAGUAAAUGAAAAAAUUUAUUAUUUAAUGUUAGGGAUGUGUUUUUUC
rnacentral:lncRNA from 1 species